GGGCCCGUAGUUCAAGGGAUAGAACGGAGGCUUGCGGAGCCUCAAAUCCCGGUUCGAGUCCGGGCGGGCCCG
rnacentral:tRNA from 1 species